GGUCUGGUGUGUGGCGGCAGAGCGGGGCUUAAUUACAAAACUUCAUCAUAAUGAGGUGUUAGAGGCUCUUUUGGGGGGGUGUUUUUUUUUGUGGGGGGGAAGGGGUUGAGGUUUUUUUCUUUUUUUUAUUUUUUUGUGCCUGUGGUGGAUGCUGCGGGGCC
rnacentral:rRNA from 1 species